rnacentral:rRNA from 1 species
AAGUUUGAGUUAUGGCGUCAGGAUGAACGGCUAGCGGCAGGCUCAACACGAUGCAAGUCGAGGGGCAGCGCGGAGUAGCAAUACUUGGCGGCGACCGGCGCACGGGUGCGUAACGCGUAUGCAACCUGCCCGCAACAGGGGUAUAACGGAGGGAAACUUCCACUAAUCCCCCAUAUAGUCAUGGAUUCGCAUGUUUCCAUGACGAAAGGUUAUUCUGGUUGCGGAUGGGCAUGCGUGACAUUAGGUAGUUGGCGGGGCAACGGCCACCAAGCCGACGAUGUCUAGGGGAGCUGAGAGGCUUAUCCCCCACACUGGUACUGAGACACGGACCAGACUCCUACGGGAGGCAGCAGUGAGGAAUAUUGGUCAAUGGGAGGAAUCCUGAACCAGCCAUGCCGCGUGGGGGAAGAAGGUCCUAUGGGUUGUAAACCCCUUUUUGCUCCGGAGUAAUAAGGCGGAUGCGUCCGCCGAUGAGAGUACGGGGCGAAUAAGCACCUCGGCUAACUCCGUGCCAGCCGCAGC